GACGAACCGUCCAAACGUUGUUCGGAAUCACUGGCUUAAAGGGCGCGUAGGCGGGUGACCAAGUCCGGGGUGAAAUCUUUCGGCUCAACCGGAAAACUGCCUUGGAUACUGGUCAUCUCGAGGGAGGUAGGGGUCUGUGGAACUGAUGGUGGAGCGGUGAAAUGCGUUGAUAUCAUCAGGAACGCCGGUGGCGAAAGCGACGGACUGGACCUCUUCUGACGCUGAGGCGCGAAAGCUAGGGGAGCAAACGGG
rnacentral:rRNA from 1 species